rnacentral:lncRNA from 12 species
GAGCAGCUGCUUUGACUGUGGAGGUCCCUACAGGCUGGUCUCGCCGUUAGUGAGUCUCAGGUGGAGAGACUAGGAGAAAGCACAGGAUGCAGAGGUCUAUUUGGUGUAAUCUUCUCCCUCGUUCUCAUCUUCACCAUCAAUGGAGAGAGCAGCAUACUUGCUUGCAGAACUGAACUUGGAAGCUUGAUUUUCGGCCACAACUGGCAGAAGUAAGUCAGACCAGGAUGCACGAAGGAGAGAGAGUGAGAAGUCUCUAGAAAAUGAAACACCGAAUAAGGAGGAAGACUAUCACUCUCCAACUUCUAAGCCACCCAAAUCUGAACAGCCUCUGAAGGUAAUGCCAGCCCCUCCACCAAAGG